AUUUGUAUAGGGACACAGGGCUGUGUAUAGGGAUACAGGGCUGUGUAUAGGGAUACAGUAUUGUGUAUAGGGACCCAGGGCUGUGUAUAGGGAUACAGUGUUGUGUAUAGGGGCACAGGGCUGCGUAUAGGGACACAGGGCUGUGUAUAGGAAUACAGGGCUGUGUAUAGGGAUACAGUGUUGUGUAUAGGGACACAGGGCUGUGUAUAGGGAUACAGUGUUGUGUAUAGGGGCACAGGGCUGUGUAUAGGGAUACAGUGUUGUGUAUAGGGACACAGGGCUGUGUAUAGGGAUACAGUGUUGUGUAUAGGG